GAUGAACGCUGGCGGCGUGCCUAAUACAUGCAAGUCGAGCGAACGGACGAGAAGCUUGCUUCUCUGAUGUUAGCGGCGGACGGGUGAGUAACACGUGGAUAACCUACCUAUAAGACUGGGAUAACUUCGGGAAACCGGAGCUAAUACCGGAUAAUAUUUUGAACCGCAUGGUUCAAAAGUGAAAGACGGUCUUGCUGUCACUUAUAGAUGGAUCCGCGCUGCAUUAGCUAGUUGGUAAGGUAACGGCUUACCAAGGCAACGAUGCAUAGCCGGCCUGAGAGGGUGAUCGGCCACACUGGAACUGAGACACGGUCCAGACUCCUACGGGAGGCAGCAGUAGGGAAUCUUCCGCAAUGGGCGAAAGCCUGACGGAGCAACGCCGCGUGAGUGAUGAAGGUCUUCGGAUCGUAAAACUCUGUUAUUAGGGAAGAACAUAUGUGUAAGUAACUGUGCACAUCUUGACGGUACCUAAUCAGAAAGCCACGGCUAACUACGUGC
rnacentral:rRNA from 1 species